rnacentral:tRNA from 1 species
AGAGUAUAGCUCAGUGGUAGAGUAUGUGCUUAGCAUGCACAAGGUCCUGGGUUCAAUCCCCAGGACCUCUG